rnacentral:rRNA from 1 species
AAAGCGUGCGCAGGCGGUUUUGUAAGACUGUCGUGAAAUCCCCGGGCUCAACCUGGGAAUGGCGAUGGUGACUGCAAGGCUAGAGUUUGGCAGAGGGGGGUAGAAUUCCACGUGUAGCAGUGAAAUGCGUAGAUAUGUGGAGGAACACCGAUGGCGAAGGCAGCCCCCUGGGUCAAAACUGACGCUCAUGCACGAAAGCGUGGGGAGCAAACAGGAUUAGAUACUCUGGU